UCGCCUCGAGUACAUAGAUGUACAGCUUUAAAAUUUUUAAUCGCCGCGGUAUCGCGCAACACGCUCGUAAUCUCGACGCGUAGGCGUCCAGGAGGAAAUAGUGAAGUUUAAGCUUCUUCCUGGCGUCUACGAAUCGCAGCUCGGAAUCUUACAUCUCGCAGAUGAUUUCGCACGAGUCUGUUCGAGAUAGUUUUCCAUCCUUGACCAUCGUCAACUCGUUAAAAUCAAAUCGCAAAAGUAUUAUACGAUCGACCGUAUAUUCGUUGGUCGGAAUAUUCGUCGGUGGCACGUAGAAGCGUUUGGCCCGUACAUUGUACGCCAACAAAAGCGUGUACGCGCUUAUAUAUAGAAAUAGCAGUGACGGAACAACACCGGAAGCGAAGGAGUUCCGCCCAAGCCUGAAGGGUCAGUGCACUUUGAAAGGCGAGAUCCAAGACCGCGCGUUUGCUUGCCGAAAUCCUAUCUGCUUGCUCCGCCAAACUAGUCAAAGUUCUUACGUUAUUAUCGCGAAACGGGGGAAAAUCGAUGUUGCGGUAGAAACGAAACGAAGCGACGAGUUGCUCGGAAGGGAAUCGCGCUCGAAGAAACGUCUCCCUCGGCGAUGCAUCCUCGACGGAAGUAAGAUAGGCGUUCCGGUGCGUGCGGGUUUUAAGGUCUUUACGGGCCGCGCCAAGCGUUUCUCUCGUUAACGCGUGCAAGCGUUUCCUCGCGAAACGCGUGACUUUAUGAAUGAAACCACUACCGAGCGGAGUUUCUACGCGAUGCCGGUAGUAUUCGCGUUUACUCGCUCGUUCUAUGUAGGAAGGAAGUCGCGAGCGAGCUGGAAUUGUCUCUUCCAUCGACGUUGCGCACCGUACGCGCUCGGUCAAUUACCCGGUCAAUAGUUUCCCGGCAGGAUGCUGCAUUCAAGGAAGUGUAACUUCGUCCGCAGGUCAUCUACAGGGUGCUUUGAAUCGCGCCGAUCUGCCAAAUAUAUCGUUCGUCGUUUGAUCAGGUAGAUCGGUUUAACCUUAGCGGCGCCAGCUCGAGUAUUCAUUUCUCUAGCGUUGUAUUUUCUAGCGAACGUAUGACAAAAGAAUUCGCGUAACAAAUAACACGCGGAACAUUUGACAAAAAUUCGUACGAUUUGCAUACGUUCAGUCGAGUCCCAGAUUUUUUCCUUCGUCUUUUCGCAAGAAGAAUCUAGCUAUUUCGCUGCGCAGCGACAUAUACAGACAAUUUCGAUAACGCAAGACUGACGGACAACGUAUCGAAUGUUAAAAACGCUUCCGUGCGAAGAGAAUCGUGUUUGGAUCUGUCGUGUUCCCUGCCGUAGAUUCGAAGCUCUCCUCGGAAUAUUCGUCUCGAUGCGGCGAGACGAGGCGACACAGCGCGAAACGAAACGAGACGAGACGAGACGAGACGAGACGAUACGCGUUCCAAGUAAGCCGAAACAGUGUCGCAGUGGGCUACGACCGAUCGAAUUCUAGGCCGACGACAGGCGACGCUAUUUCUAAACUCAUUUCUAUUUUCUAUUUGCAUGCGCCGGCAUCGCCACGACAAUUUUAUACGUCUGCGAUAUUUCGAGGAGUCGGCGUUAGCCUGUCCCGUGUCUUCCGCCGAAACCACGUAAGCGUAGAUCUAUUUGCUGAUCGAGAAGAAAGAAAGUUCAUCGACAGGUCGAACAGAGAGCAGCCGAUAUAACCACAAAGCCGGGGCCCUUCGAUUCUUGUUGCGAUUUUACGGGCUCGUGGCCGAUAAUGCGAACGUAACGGACGGUCUGGCUCGCGUUUCCGCCGGAGUGUAAUCGUAUUCGAUCGAGCAAUUAGUAGCAUGGAGCGGCCAUUAAGCACUGCUAUUCUCCACGUGAACGUCACGCGGCCACUUUACACGGCUGUGUUCGUAACCAUUACAGUUGUAAUCGCAUUUACCUGGCGCUCGCGCGCGAGCCAUCGUACGCGUAUAAACGCGAUAAGAAUCGCGCGUCGUAUCGCCCUUAUGGAAUUCUUCUUGCGCAAUUACUCGUGAGACGCCAACUCGAACUCCUUCGAACCAACGUUAUGUAAAAGAAUACAUUGAUCUUUUCGUUUCGAAAUUAACCAAGCGACUUCCUUUCUCCGUACGUGACGUUUCUCACUUCCGACGCUCCGAUAAAGGUAUCGAAUAAUUCGCUCGACUAUAGCGAAAUAAUUUCGAAAGUUGUCCGAGCUAAUAAAAUAAUCUCGCAAGCGCGUUUCUUACGACGCAACGCGUCCCUUCUGCGAUCGAGGCGUAAACGAAAAUUCGCUUCGACGUAGACGUUUCGCGAAUUGACGUUGCGUUUCGUUGAACAGCGACGUCGUGUAGCUUUUUAACGGUACAAAAACUCGUAGCGUUCGACUCAAAGAGAGAACGACGAACGACGAGGAAAAGACGGAGCAAUCGAUCGGCUGUGCCGGAGCGGUAGAGAGAGAUAAAGAGCGUAGAUGCGGAUCCGUCGAGCGGAUUUUUAUCGUGCACGCGUCACGCGUAAUAUUCGCUGGCUGGAACAAGGAAAUAGAGGUAAAGUCUAAGACAAGGAACAAGAGAGUCAGCCAUUUUAUGAAACGGCAGAGCUGCCUCGUCUCGUUGCCAUGAGAGCGCGCCACGUUCAGAUCUUUUGGCGAAAAACUACGAGACGAUUUUAUAACCGAGACGUCAGCUUCGAGAUUUCUCGUUGAAAUUUCGCGUAAUUUGCCGACAUCGAUCGACGAACAGACCAAAAACGAAAUUAGGAUGAUCGUUCCCUCUGCUCUGCCUCAAAUCGCAGCCAACUUGCGCGCUUUCGUCGAUUCUACGCGUCUUUGCUUGCCAUUCGCCGAGUAUAUUUUAGUUAUUUUUCCAUCGUGCCUCGUUAUUCCGUGCUAGCUACCACGAUAACACGAUAUCCCUUUUCCCGCGUUUCCGUUUGUUUUUGUUUCCGUUUUUGUAGUCAUUUCCGCUUCCGGUUUCGUUUUCAUUUGGCCGUCUGCGUCGUGGCUCGUUUCUUUUUUUCCACGAGGAGACAACGUGGCGAGCGUAGUCGUGGAAACGGGACGAUCUUCGGCCUCGUGUUCGUUCUUCCGAGUAAGUUUUAGUCGCACGUUCGAUCCACUUGCGCUCGAUAACGUUUCAUCUUUUCAAUCCGUAAUUUCCGUGUUUUCCGACCUCGUGGCUUCCCCUUCCCUUCUUUUCCCUUCCCUUCCCUUUCCUCUGCCGUCUUUACGCGCACGCUUCACUGUGUCGCGAAGGUGGCAGAUGGACGAAAAGAGAAACCAAUAGCAGGAGAAGGUCGAACAGAGAGGGAGAUGACUCGUUGUAGGAAGAAGGAAGGAAAAGCGAGCGAACUGGGACCCGAGCGAGAAAGAACAGAAGGAACGAAGCGGGAGACGGGUGGGAGCGAGCGAGCAUCGACAGGGGGAAGGGGAGAAAGAGAGAGAUAGAACAGGGAAUCCACGAGCGAUCGACUGCCCUAGUCAGUCCUCGUCCGUCUGCCGGUCGGUCGUUUACGUUUAUGUUUGACAGCUUGUGAAUUCGCGUCACUCGAGCUUCGACCAGCCAGUGCUUCGUCUGUGUGUGUGUGGAUGUGUAUGUGUGCCGUCUCAUCUACCUUGCACGCUCGAUUAAAAAAAUGAAUUCCUUCUCGACCGACUUGCCGAUAUUAAUCGAGACUUUUCUCUUUUUCCUGGAUCGUUCGAUAUUUCGAAUCGAUGCCUCGCAUCCACAUUUUCCGAUGAUUUUAAAAGACACUUUUAUCCGUUCACGCUGGUUACCGGACUUCGACGAUUCUUCGACUUUCAAAGGAGAAGAAGAUCUCGGAUAGAAAGUCGUAAGAAAUGUUUGGCUGAGAAUGUCUGUUAGCUGUUUAAAGCCACGUUCCACGCAGUUGAUAGAGAGUCGCGCGAGUAUACGCGUGCCAGAAGCAAGAUGAUGAAACUGAGAAAGUUAGAAAAUGACGGAGUUGAUCGCAGGCUUCUGAGAGUUGGCUACCUACCGUUUGGAACAUGCAGCAACAGCAGGCGAGAAAAAGUUGUUGGUCGUUGGUUGGCUCGGUGAGGACGCAGCUUAAUAGACGCAGGAUCACGCGUCGAAAGUUUCGGACGAUCAGUGAACUUGAAAGCGGUACCAUGAUGAAUCCGCGAAAGUAGGAGCAACGACCACGCGAAGGGAAUGCUGUUCGACUUCCACGCGCUCACGUUACGUGACAAUAUGCCCCCGAAGCUCCGUUUUCUGGCUAAACUACCGAUGCGAACGAUGCCAUCGUGCGCGCGCGCUAAUCGUUCGUAGAAAGUUCAGCAACCUCUGCCGACGUUUCGUCUCGUGGCCCUCUUUCUCCUUCCUUGCCUCUCUCGAUAGCCAACUACUUCGAUCGGCGUACCGAACGUAUUUAACGCUCGAUUCCAUGACGAGCUUCCUGUGCCACGGAACGAGCUGCCAUUCCUCACCAAUACCGUCGCUACGUUAGAACGUGUCGCGAAUUUCGUGGAACGGUGAACGGUCGACCUUGUAAGCCCGACUAGAAAGCUAUACACAGGGUGUUCCAGUAUCGAUGGUAGAAUCGAGGAGGGGCUGGUUCCGUAUUUAAAAAACAGAUCGAAAAUAUAGAACACAUUUUUUUUUUCUUUUUUUAUUUCAGGCUUGGAAAUCAUUUGAGACUCGAUUUUCGAGAAAACUGACUUUCAAAGGCUGGUUUUAAAGAAAGUAGAAUCUUCACCGCGUUUGAUUAAGAAUUGGGUUGGCUCACGCGUGCUCGAUCAAGUUUCGAGUUUCAUUUUCUCGUAAACGAAACAUCCUACGAAAAGUAUUUAUUAUCUACAUUUUUUACUUAUUUUCAUACGUAGAACAGAUUCUUGUCGAUUCUUCGCUUUCAUCCAGACCGGAAUUAGCCAAGUUUCGAUACUUUUGACGAAUCUUCAAAUACGAUUUUUGUCGAAUACGAAGCAAAGUCUCGAUAGCGUGAUCGCUCGGAUAAAAUCUUAUUCUACAGGGUGCCUGGUAACUGGUGGUACAAGCGGAAAGGGAGUGAUUCUAGGCGAAAAAAGAAGUCGAAAAUAUGGAAUACAAAUUUUUCGUUCGAGGCUUUGUUUUCGAGAAAAUCGACUUUGAAUUUUGGCUCGGUACGCGUGCACUUUAUCGCGUCUCGUUAUAACGAAUCUCACUGUAGAUCGUUGUCUCGAUGAAAAAAUUAAAAAAAAAAAAUUUUUAUUCUAUAUUUUCGACUUCUUUUUUCGCGUAGAAUCACCCCUUUUCCGCUUCUACCACCAAUUACCAACCAAUUACCUGUAUAUUUUUGAUUUGUUCUUUUUUUCACGUAGGAUCACCUUCUCGCCGAUUGUACCGUCGAUACCGGAACAUCCUGUAUGCCGUGCUAAAGCGAUCCUCGUUCGCGACGCUUCGAAUUUGCCCUCCUUUCGUAUCGCACACAUAAUCGUUCCUGCUUUUCUCGACACUCCUUUUCACUCGUUUCAUCCCGCGUAAUAUUCCUCUCGACUAGUUGCUCUUCGGUUCUCCGUCUCGCUCAUUGUGCACGCUUAUUCACCGCGAUGCGCUGUUUCGCUCGUUCAAUUACGCACUUCGUCGGAAUGCCGAGGGAGAAACGAAUUCCAAGAGUGGCAGCCUUGUCAAGGUGUUCCCCGCGCCACUCCUGCAUGGAAAAAGUUUUCUACUACGUAAGUACGUGAUUUCGAUGAUGCGUUGAUAAUGAUCGAACAAAAGAGCUGCGUGCCGAUUCCUUCGUUGCGCGUAUACGUGCAUAAACGAUCUUGUAAUAUUUUUCGACUGUAACGUGUAGUUACGUAAGAGCGUUUGCACGGCGUCAUUUUGAUUAUUGCUCGAUGGAAUGGAAAAGUCAGCCAUUUGCCGUAAAUCGAAUGGCUUUUUCGCGGAAGGAACGGACAUAAAGGCAGACAAAUACAUUAUCGCGAAUUAUAAAAGAGAUCGUAGAAAGGAUUGUAGAAUAUGUGUUUACUGGGAUUUUUUAAUCCGAGGAUUUGCGUCGGUGUAACGUCACGUAAUUUUGAAAAGAAUUUUCGCAGCCUGGAUAAAACGCAUGCUGAUCGACGAUGCGUGUGAUGUACGCGUGCAUACAUGCGUAUAUGUAUGCUCGUGUACCUCGAUCCACAUCUGCACGCGAGAUUCUCUGGAGGGGUCUGUCACGCGUACAAAUAGCUGACCUCGCUUCGUCGCCUCUAUCAAUGGUUGGACAGUGGACUGAAUGACUUUUAUGCCUCUCUUCCUCUUACUACGCCCUGUCGCGUGAUAGCCUUCACUCCGUUUCUUCGAAUCCUUUUUCCCACCACCGCUCUUUACAGUGGAAAAAACCUACCGCGACGUAAUAACCGAUGAAAUUUCGAAAAUUGCUUUUGUUCGCUAAACUUUCAACGGGGAAAUAUCGCGAUAUUUUCAAGGGAAAUUGUAUCUACUUCUUGUCACUAUGUCGGGAAUGACGUAUACGGUAGGCGGAAAACUAUAGCAGCACGUUCCAUUCUAUAUGGGAACGCGUUUGCUUUCGAACGUUGCGUUUCCCAACGGCGGAUAAGUUAGAGCACUGUUGGUAACGAAGAUCGCGUCGCUGGUGAAGCAACAGUGAGUACGAACGACCACCACCUAUACCUUCGUUUAGUAAGACUACUUGGAAACCACCAGUCGAUAACGUGAUUGUCUACCGUGUCGGUACUGUAUAUUUUUGCGAAAGUCGAUGGACGACACAUUCAGGUAUAAAAAAUAACUCUGAUACAUUUUUUCUUCGACCUAGAGGGAGUUUCAAUGCAAUCGAUAAUAAUCGAAAGAUAUAAGGAAAUUCUGCUUAUUCGUCUAAUAAGCCGUUACUCAAACUUCUUGCACAAAGACCUUCAGCAAUCGGUUAUGUUGCGAUAUUGUGGCAAACCUUGCUCGUUAACUUUUACGACCGGCUGAACGAGAAGGAGCGUGUCUCGUGAUCGCAUCGCGUUAAUUAGAUAAAAGAAAAACGACGAAACGGUUCUCGGAAGGAUUCGAUAGGAUACGCAUAACCAGCAACGAAUCUAUACAGUGUUACGAAUCGUUACGAUAUCUUACGUCGUAUAUCUUCGUCAAUUUCGUAUCUGUUAAACUCGUGACUUUAUGCAAACAGAAGAGCAGAGAAAUAUCAUCGGUCGUUGAGAUCCUACAACACGAAUUUCUCAGGGUCAUCCUCGUCGUUGUUUGCCGUCUAUACUUUCGCGAUCGUCCAGGGCUCUUUUCCUUCGUCUUGUCCGGUUCCACGGAAUCGUCAUGGGGUCGCAGGGUCACGUCGUAUCUUUAUCAGGGCCUGGUGUAACCGUCAACGCGUUAUCGACUUGCCGAUAACGCACGUGCAAAAUAGUAUACGUCGAUUGAUCCUCACGUUCGGUUAUUAGCGUGAGCUUGCGAAAAGAAAAGAAAGAAAAAAUGAAAAAGAAAAAGAACUCGGCCGACUCUAGCUCCUGUAUGGAUUUACGAUUUCUCCGUCAUCGCGGCCUCGUUAUUAAUGAGCCGCGCUAUCGCAUUCCACGAUAAUGGAAAUGUUGUGCGGUCUGAAAAAUACAAGGCUUCUUUAAUCAAUGAUGCUUAGCCUGGCUAAGAAUCGGACAAUUUUUUUUGGUAGAACGUAGAAGGAAAACGUAUUUGCAACCACGCACAAUCUACUGAUUCAGUUUGAGACGAAAAUUUCGAAACAUAACCUACAAAUUUCAGAUAUUGUAUCGGUGCAUAAAAUUUAAUUAACUUAACGAAGAAGUUGCGAACCACAGAUGGUACCACCGAUCUUCAACGUGGAACAAAGAUCGUCGAAAGAUAGUAAUAUUAAUCUUAUUUGUUUUAGACAUAACAUAAGCGAGUCAACAGCUCUAUUCAGUCGUAUUAAUUCGUAAUACCGCUGGAAACUCAAAGAUCAAACAGAAAAGCUAGAUUGCCAGCUGUUCUUCGAAUAUCGGCGUAUUUCGUAGAAAGUUUGUUCGUUAUUAGGACGUAGCCAUGAUUAUUAGACUGCGAAUUUUCAAGCAACAUAGAAAAAUGUAUAAAAUAUUCAAACUAUAAUACUUACCUACUCGUUUAAUCGUAGAAAUUCGUAGAAAUAUUAAUUUGCACGAAUAUCCGAGGUCUCGUAAUGAUUUUUUCGGUGAUAACCUCGUUGAAAAUUAGGUUUCACUCACUGCUAACAACUCACUGCAGGACAAAGCACAGGAGAAUCGUCGUUCGUUAAAAUUGUCGAUUCUGUUUCCUUGCAAACAGGUAGUCGACGACGGCAAUCAUCGUUCAACGCACAUAAAACUACUGUAAAAGACGAAACUGGUUUUCACAAUGAUUUGACAGAUAGAUUUGAUUCUGAGAUCAUUGUGAAAGCUGAUUUUGUUUGGAAGUCGCUGAAAUACAUCGCAGGAGAGACACAACGAGGAUGGGACAGGAAACGCGCGUUCCUCUCAGAUCUUGGAAACGAUCGAAUCACGGAGAUCGCGUGCCUUCUUCAUUCACCGUCUCAGGGUGUAAUUGUUGACGGAUAAAUAAAUUGUACGCACAAAGGAGCCUCUGUCUCGCGAGCAUUGCACGUCGCAGCACGCGCUUCACGGCGCGCGCCUCGAAAUUUAUGAUUCAUCGAGGAGAAAACGACUACAAGAGGAGAGGAAAAGAUGGACGACUAUAAAGGAAAGAAUUGCUCGAUCUUUCCAAUCGAUAUUGCCAUGUUCGUGGAAACCGCAAUGAUCACACAACGAUAUCUGGUACGGUCGUUGGAAAAAUGUGGAGAAAACGAGGACUGAAAAUGAUUGGUUUAGACUAGAUAAAUCCCUAGGAUGUCACCAGAUCGACCUAAAUUCGUCGAUCAUCUGUGACAUAACCACCAAAUGUGGCAUAACGCAAACAGGUCGAGUUAAAUACCUAGGACUCCACCUAGACACACAACUUACAUGAAAACGAUAUACUAACACAAUUAUAGGCAAAAUACGGAUAAAAAGGAGACAGAUGUACUGGCUAACUAGUCGAAACUCUGAACUCGGCAUAGAAAAUAAACUAAAAAUCUAGAAAACGAUGAUAAAACCAAUUUCGACGUACGGAAUAGCAUUUUGGGAGACAGCGGCAAUGAGUCACGUAAAUAAACCAGUGUCGCGACAAUCGAAGAUACUGAGAACAAUAGUCAACGCCCUAUGGUAUGUCAGAAACGAGGAUAUACGCAAAGAAUUGAAAAUACCAACGGUCAAAGAAGAAAUCGGCAGGUAGGCAGAAAGAUACAAGCAAAGAACGACGACACGUCCAAACCAGCUGGCUGCUGAAGCGAGCAAAACUCCGAUAGGAAGGAGACUAAAAAGAAAACGCCCCACUGACCUCGCCGAAGAAAAUCUGUGAUACGUACAUAAAGAUUUACAUAAAGAUAUCUUCAAUGUAUACGCUGUACAUCUAUUUUUAGUAGAUUUUCGUGACUGAUUGUAUAUGUUUGAAUCGGCGAGUUAAUAUUUCCGAUCCGCUGUAUCUUCCCACCGAGGCAAAUUUCAUCUGGUAAGAGCAUCGAUGUUAUUCGAGAGAAUAUCGAAGACGAAGAAAAAUCGGACGAGCGUGGUCUGUUUUCGUGGUUUUCUCGAGGAAACAAGCGGAUGCAGGCUGCUGGGCCGUCAAUCGAGUAUCUGGAGCACGAACAAGCAACGUGGUUUUUUGUCGGAAUUUCCGGUAGUGAUUUAUCAAACGGGAAGAUGGUAUCGAACGAAGAAGCAACGGCAAGAAACGACUUCUCGCGGAGAGGCCGAAGAAACUAGAGAAGCGGAAGCGAAGAAAGAAGGGAAGGCAGAAGAAACGAAAGAAGAUGGCUCGCGAGUGCUGCAGCAGCAGGCUAUCCCGCGCGAACUCGGAACGCGUCGUGCUAUGCGGCCGGCUAUGUAUGCAUGCUCGAGCGCUAUCAAGUGUCAAACGAACCGAACUUAAGAAAAACCAAACGUUCGAGCUGCAGCCGUGGAAUUUUGAGAGAACGCAGCCAGACGAGAGCGAGAAAGAGAGAAGAGAAACUCUAGAUUCUAGAGAUGGUAUCCGUCCUAACAGUCAUCUACACCGUCAUGACUCUUAGACGAUGGGUUGCUUUCGACCCUCUUAGCGCAUCAUAUUCCUGACAGCUCGGGGAAAGGACGACGAGAGUGUUCUCCAGCUCGAUCACCGGAAUCUAACCCCUUUUCUUCUCGACUUUGUCCCUACAGAUCGAGUUUACCACCAGGUGACCACGUGGUAAUACACGGUGGCUAUGAAAAUUAUUUCCACGUACCUUGCUCUUUCAACGAGGCGUUUUCUCGUCGGGCUUCGUCUUUCAUUUUCACGGUAUCGGCAUUUUUCUAGUCGCAUGAGAAUACUAUCAAAUCGCACGAAACUCGAUAUGCUUGCUCUUAAAUGGUAUCGAUACAAAUACCGUUUCACACCGUACACCGUGGGCCUGAAUUCGCGAUGCAAACGAAGUAGUAGACUCCCGUCUAGUUGGAACUUUACCGAUCAUUCUUUAUUUUUUGUUUUAUUCGAAGCCAAAGAAUCGAUGCUCGUUCGAUUUCGUUUAUAUCUCGAAUUUAGGCCCACGGUGUAGCGAGGAUAGCUUCUUGAAGCCUGUAUCGAAGCCAAUAGAGAAAUCGUUCUCUCACCGUCUGGCAUUUCUUUCAGGUUCGUCAUGAUCAUCGGUGCAAUAAAACAACCGUGCACGCGCAUCCACGUGUCCUUGGACGUGGAACGAUAUUCGAUGCAGUCAUAGAGUGGCCAACCUAACUCCAUUUUGUUAAGGAUCUACGAGAAGGAGCGAGUUUCGCUACUUUUUCUUUAUUUCUUCUCAGCGACUUGAGCGGUGGCUCGUAAAAGAAAUCCUUGGCAAAUUGGGCCACGAGACGGGACACGGUCGUUCUCGUGUUUCGAGUCGAUAAACUUGUGGCCGGCGUGCUUCGACGGCCACGAAAUCACGCGAGAUUUAUUCUCCUUCCUCCUUUCUCUCUCGGUCCGGUCUGACGUUAUUUUGACAGGACCGCGAGAAAAUUUAUCGAGGAGAGCGUAAAGGCGGUGGCAGCUACGCGGGCCCGACAAUGUUUUGAGCUAUUAGACGAAACAAGUCACUGGUCUUUUACGAGCAGUUGCGGUGACCCACAGCGCCACGUUCGACCACCAUCUUCGAUCGUAAAUCCAAUUGGUAAAAUAGGGAAAAUACAGAAGUCGAGUUCGUGUACGUAUGGGCAGCAAAGACAACUGGAUGAAAGAAGUUGCUUCGAGUAUCCGAAACGCAAUUCCUAUUUUCGAUGUUACUUAUUUUGUAUUCGUAUGUAAUUAUGAUUUUAUAUAAGGUAUUCAUUCGAUUAAGUAAUUAUGCGAUAAGUGGCAUACGUUAUAUCGCGUCACAUUACGUUAUAAAAUUGAAACCAACCAUUACCUUAUAUAAAUAAACAAAAAGUUUUGAAAAA